rnacentral:tRNA from 1 species
GCCGAAUUGGCGCAACGGUCAGCGCAAUCGCCUUGUAAGCGAUAGGUUGUGAGUUCGAAUCUCACAUUCGGCU